UACGUAGGGGGCUAGCGUUGUUCGGAAUUACUGGGCGUAAAGGGCUCGUAGGCGGCCAACUAAGUCAUACGUGAAAUCCCUCGGCUUAACCGGGGAACUGCGUCUGAUACUGGAUGGCUUGAGUUCGGGAGAGGGAUGCGGAAUUCCAGGUGUAGCGGUGAAAUGCGUAGAUAUCUGGAGGAACACCGGUGGCGAAGGCGGCAUCCUGGACCGAUACUGACGCUGAGGAGCGAAAGCAUGGGGAGCGAACAGG
rnacentral:rRNA from 1 species